rnacentral:lncRNA from 1 species
UUAAUUUUAUGUGUCUGUUUCCAUCCUCCUCUAACACCUUCCUUCCUUGAGGUUAAGCCGCAGAAUGGGCUUAAUGAGCUGGUUGGGUCAUCAGUUAUCAACUUAAGAUAAAUGGCAGUUGGGGGAAGGUGGGGGAAGGGGGUCCCAUCCCUGAAGUCCCAGUGCCUGGCCCAGUCAGCCAACCACCCCACUUCAUCAAGAGCAAAGGAAGGCUGUGGGUGGUUUUCAUAUCAAGACAGCAAAGCAGCAUGUUAAGAGCUCCCCCAGAAUCGUGCAGAAACCCCAAGUGUUCUUUCCAGCUCUGUCUGGUUCUGGGCUGAGCGGCUCAGACCAUGCCGUUAGCUCCUCUGGAUCUGUCUUCUGAGAAAUGAGACCUAAUAGACGUGGCCUUCUGCAGAAAAGUUCUGUAGCUGACUUUCUGACAAGCCACGGGCAAGAAGGCAGAGGAUAAUUAAUUACGACCACCGUGCAAGCCUCCAAAGAAAGGUAAGGCCCCUGUGGCUGCUCCAUCUGACGUAUCAGGAAACUGAGGCACAGAAUGAGGAGGGGCUCCGCCCUCAGGUCGACGUGCCCGCCAUCAGGACCGCACAAACACAGGAAAGCGCUUACAUCUCAGGUCUUCUCUUGAAGCUCAGCGGUGCCCCCACCACUUUCUCCGCGACCACAUGCCCACAUAGAAAUCAUUUUGGUUGUUUGGUGUUAAUCAAAAUUGACAGGCAUGCAAAUCACAGCCCAAGAUUCUAGUCCUUUGAAAUUGCUUUAUUAAUCACUGUAUUUGUGAAGGCUCAGAGAAAAAUCUCAGUGGUAAUAUUCUAAGAGCCUUUGACAAGCUCAGAGUUGUCCUGUAAUGAUACAGAAGACAGACAGUGGUCAAGUCACUCAGUGAUGGUUCUCUGAGAAUGACCGUUUGGGUUUUUUUCUUUCCACGCAGUUGCCAGGGUUUUUGUGUUCAGGCUGGUAGAUGUCACUCGGCUUUAUGAAAUGGGUGUGAUUCGGCACAGCUGUGGUUCUUUGUCC